UAGUUUUGAUUAAAGUUUCAUUGGGAUAUAGCGUAAUACCUGAACUACUAUGGCGUUUAAAAAAAGUUUCUGGAUCUUAAUGAUGUUGUCUACCCUAUUGAUGCUGGCAUCAGCGCGGCCGCAGGAGUUCGAAGACGAUGAAGAUGGUCAUAGUAAUGAUAGAAAAGAUGAUGUCGCCCGAGUUCAAAUAAAAGUGUACCGGGGACCAACAAAGCAUGAUGGAUAUGCUCCCUGGGGUUUCUGGGUAAAACAACCUACCGAUGAAGAAUAAUGCAUGUUUUAUAACGAUUUCUUUAGUUAAUUAGAUACUUAAUAACAA